GAUGAACGCUGGCGGCGUGCCUAAUACAUGCAAGUCGAGCGAAUGGAUUGAGAGCUUGCUCUUAUGAAGUUAGCGGCGGACGGGUGAGUAACACGUGGGUAACCUGCCCAUAAGACUGGGAUAACUCCGGGAAGCCGGGGCUAAUACCGGAUAACAUUUUGAACCGCAUGGUUCGAAAUUGAAAGGCGGCUUCGGCUGUCACUUAUGGAUGGACCCGCGUCGCAUCUAGCUAGUUGGUGAGGUAACGGCUCACCAAGGCAACGAUGCGUAGCCGACCUGAGAGGGGGAUCGGCCAGACUGGGACUGAGAAACGGCCCAGACUCCUACGGGAGGCAGCAGUAGGGAAUCUUCCGCAAUGGACGAAAGUCUGACGGAGCAACGCCGUGUGAGUGAUGAAGGCUUUCGGGUCGUAAAACUCUGUUGUUAGGGAAGAACAAGUGCUAGUUGAAUAAGCUGGCACCUUGACGGUACCUAACCAGAAAGCCACGGCUAACUACGUGCCAGCCGCCGCCGUAA
rnacentral:rRNA from 1 species